rnacentral:rRNA from 1 species
ACCUACGGGGGGCAGCAGUGGGGGAUAUUGCACAAUGGGGGGAACCCUGAUGCAGCGACGCCGCGUGGGUGAAGGAGUGCUUCGGCAUGUAAAGCCCUAUCGGCAGGGAAGAAGCAAGACGGUACCUGACUAAGAAGCCCCGGCUAACUACGUGCCAGCAGCCGCGGUAAUACGUAGGGGGCAAGCGUUAUCCGGAUUUACUGGGUGUAAAGGGAGCGUAGACGGCAUAGCAAGUCUGAUGUGAAAGAUCGGGGCUCAACCCCGGGCCUGCAUUGGAAACUGUUAAGCUGGAGUACAG